AUACGUAGGGUGCGAGCGUUGUCCGGAAUUACUGGGCGUAAAGAGCUCGUAGGUGGUUUGUCGCGUCGUCUGUGAAAUUCCGGGGCUUAACUCCGGGCGUGCAGGCGAUACGGGCAUAACUUGAGUACUGUAGGGGAGACUGGAAUUCCUGGUGUAGCGGUGAAAUGCGCAGGUAUCAGGAGGAACACCGGUGGCGUAGGCGAGUCUCUGGGCAAUAACUGACGCUGAAGAGCGAAAGCAUGGGUAGCGAACAGGAUUAGAUCCCCUGGUAGUCCAGGCCGAAAACGGUGGUUGCAAGGUGUAGGUGUCUGCCACGACUUCUGUGCCGUAGGUAAAGCAUUAAGCGCCCCGCCUGGGGAGUUCGGCCGCAAGGCGGAAACUCAAAGGAAUUGACGGGA
rnacentral:rRNA from 1 species